CAGAGGGGGAUAACGUUUGGAAACGAACGCUAAUACCGCAUGAUAUUAUUGAGCUGCAUGGCUUGAUAAUCAAAGGAGCAAUCCGCUGAAAGAUGGGCUCGCGUCCGAUUAGGUAGUUGGCGGGGCAACGGCCCACCAAGCCGACGAUCGGUAGCCGGACUGAGAGGUUGAACGGCCACAUUGGGACUGAGACACGGCCCAGACUCCUACGGGAGGCAGCAGUGAGGGAUAUUGGUCAAUGGGGGAAACCCUGAACCAGCAACGCCGCGUGAGGGAAGACGGUUUUCGGAUUGUAAACCUCUGUCCUCUGUGAAGAUGAUGACGGUAGCAGAGGAGGAAGCUCCGGCUAACCACGUGCCAGCAGCCGCGGUAAUACGUAGGGAGCAAGCGUUGUCCGGAUUUACUGGGUGUAAAGGGUGCGUAGGCGGCUUUGCAAGUCAGAAGUGAAAUCCAUGGGCUUAACCCAUGAACUGCUUUUGAAACUGCAGAGCUUGAGUGGAGUAGAGGUAGGCGGAAUUCCCGGUGUAGCGGUGAAAUGCGUAGAGAUCGGGAGGAACACCAGUGGCGAAGGCGGCCUGCUGGGCUCUAACUGACGCUGAGGCACGAAAGCGUGGGUAGCAAACAGGAUUAGAUACCCUGGUAGUCCACGCUGUAAACGAUGAUUACUAGGUGUGGGUGGACUGACCCCAUCCGUGCCGGAGU
rnacentral:rRNA from 1 species